rnacentral:rRNA from 1 species
AUGGCGAUCGGCGGCGGCGGCGGAGGCGGGAGCUGGAGCAUCCACGGCCGCCCGGACGUCACCUCCCGCUACGAUGUCCUCGGACGCGCUGGCUCUGGCGCCUACGCCGACGUCUACCGCGGCCGUCGCCGGUCCGACGGCGCACCGGUUGCCCUCAAGGAGGUCCACGACGCUGUCAGCGCCCAGCGCGAGGCCGACGCCCUCCUCGCCGUCGCCUCUGAGUCCUCCCCUCAUGUCAUCACGCUCCUCGACCACUUCCCCGGCGGCGACCACGACGACGAUGUCCUCGUCCUUGAGUGGCUUCCGCUCGACCUCGCCGCCGUCGUGCGCGAAGGGAGGCGCGCGGGAGGUCUCCCUGCCGGCCAGCUCAAGCGAUGGAUGCUGCAGGUCAUCGAAGGCGUCGCCGCCUGCCACCGCGCCGGCCUCGUGCACCGCGACCUCAAGCCCGGAAACCUGCUCAUCUCUGAGCACGGGGUCCUCAAGGUCGCCGAUUUUGGUCAGGCCAGGAUUCUUCAAGAACAGCCAUCUGAUGAACCGGAAAUUCCUGCUGCUCAGGAGCCAGAGACACUCACUGCAGCUGACUACCUACAUGAGAUUGACCAACUCCGGGCCAAGUCCACUUAUGGAGAUGUCGACAGAAUGAGCCUUCAGGAUGGAAACACCUCCUGUCUUGCCACUUGCAGCACAGCUGACAUCGACGAUGAUCCAUUUAGAGCCUCAUAUUCGUAUGAUGCUGAAGAAGACAUUGGGGAUGAAGAGUCUGGUGCCUUCACUUCUUGUGUUGGAACACGGUGGUUUAGAGCUCCUGAACUCCUAUAUGGGUCAACCAGCUACGGCCAAGAGAUCGACCUGUGGUCACUAGGAUGCAUUUUGGCUGAGCUUCUUAGUUUAGAGCCCAUAUUCCCAGGCCAAUCUGAUAUUGACCAGAUUGGUAGAAUCAUCGGAGUCCUGGGCAAUAUCACAGAAGAGUCCUUUCCUGGCUGUUCAAAUUUACCCGAUUACAACAAGAUCUUUUUCAGCAAGGUUGAGAAGCCUACGGGCCUCGAAGCAUCACUUCCUAACAGAUCUGCCUCUGAGGUUAGCAUAGUAAAGCGACUACUUUGCUAUGACCCAGCAAAGAGGGCCAGUGCUUCUGACUUGCUGAAUGAUCCGUACUUCACUGAAGAACCCUUACCCGUACCUACCGAGGCGCUACAAGUCCCGGCAUCAAAGGGUGAGGACGACGACAGCUCUGCGGAAGAAUGGGGUAAUUACAGGGACGGCAAUUCGGAUUCAGACAUUGACGAAUUCGGCAGCAUGGAUGUCACCAAAACCGACAAGGGUUUCAGCAUACGCUUUUAG